GGGAUUGCCCUAGUAACGGCGAGUGAAGCGGCAACAGCUCAAAUUUGAAAUCUGGCGCAAGCCCGAGUUGUAAUUUGCAGAGGAUGCUUCUGGGCAGCGGCCGUUCUAAGUUCCUUGGAACAGGACGUCAUAGAGGGUGAGAAUCCCGUAUGUGACCGGCGCGCACCCUCCACGUAGCUCCUUCGACGAGUCGAGUUGUUUGGGAAUGCAGCUCUAAAUGGGAGGUAAAUUCCUUCUAAAGCUAAAUACCGGCCAGAGACCGAUAGCGCACAAGUAGAGUGAUCGAAAGAUGAAAAGCACUUUGGAAAGAGAGUUAAACAGCACGUGAAAUUGUUGAAAGGGAAGCGCUUGCCACCAGACUUCGCGGCGGUGUUCCGCCGGGCUUCUGCCCGGUCUACUCGCCGCCGCGAGGCCAACAUCGUCUGGGGCCGCCGGAUAAGACCGUGGGAAUGUAGCUCCCCUCGGGGAGUGUUAUAGCCCGCGGUGAUGCGGCGCGCCUCGGGCGAGGUCCGCGCUUCGGCAAGGAUGUUGGCGUAAUGGUGGUCAGCGGCCCGUCUUGAAACACGGACCAAGGAGUCUAACAUCUAUGCGAGUGUUCGGGUGUCAAACCCCUACGCGUAAUGAAAGUGAACGGAGGUGGGAGCUUCGGCGCACCAUCGACCGAUCCUGAUGUCCUCGGAUGGAUUUGAGUAAGAGCAUAGCUGUUGGGACCCGAAAGAUGGUGAACUAUGCCUGAAUAGGGUGAAGCCAGAGGAAACUCUGGUGGAGGCUCGCAGCGGUUCUGACGUGCAAAUCGAUCGUCAAAUUUGGGUAUAGGGGCG
rnacentral:rRNA from 2 species